rnacentral:rRNA from 1 species
AGAGCGAACGCUGGCGGCAGGCCUAAUACAUGCAAGUCGAACGGAUCCUUCGGGAUUAGUGGCGGACGGGUGAGUAACACGUGGGAACGUACCCUUUGGUUCGGAACAACUCAGGGAAACUUGAGCUAAUACCGAAUGUGCCCUUCGGGGGAAAGAUUUAUCGCCAUUGGAGCGGCCCGCGUCUGAUUAGCUAGUUGGUAGGGUAAAGGCCUACCAAGGCUACGAUCAGUAGCUGGUCUGAGAGGAUGAUCAGCCACACUGGGACUGAGACACGGCCCAGACUCCUACGGGAGGCAGCAGUAGGGAAUCUUGCGCAAUGGGCGAAAGCCUGACGCAGCCAUGCCGCGUGAAUGAUGAAGGUCUUAGGAUUGUAAAAUUCUUUCAGCGGGGACGAUAAUGACGGUACCCGCAGAAGAACGCCCGGCUAACUUCGCGCCAGCAGCCGC